rnacentral:rRNA from 1 species
UACGUAGGGAGCAAGCGUUGUCCGGAAUCAUUGGGCGUAAAGCGCGCGUAGGCGGCCCCGUAAGUCCGCUGUGAAAGUCAAAGGCUCAACCUUUGAAAGCCGGUGGAUACUGUGGGGCUAGAGUCCGGAAGAGGCGAGUGGAAUUCCUGGUGUAGCGGUGGAAUGCGCAGAUAUCAGGAGGAACACCAAUAGCGAAGGCAGCUCGCUGGGACGGUACUGACGCUAAGGCGCGAAAGCGA